rnacentral:rRNA from 1 species
UACAGAGGUCUCAAGCGUUGUUCGGAUUCAUUGGGCGUAAAGGGUGCGUAGGCGGCGCGGUAAGUCGGAUGUGAAAUCUCGGAGCUUAACUCCGAAACUGCAUUCGAUACUGCCGUGCUUGAGGACUGGAGAGGAGACUGGAAUUUACGGUGUAGCGGUGAAAUGCGUAGAUAUCGGGAAGAACACCCGUGGCGAAGGCGGUUCUCUGGGACGGUACUGACGCUGAGACGCGAAAGCGUGGGGAGCGAACAGG